UGAAGAUGACGGCUUCGGGUGUAAACCUCUUUAGCAGGGAAGAAGCGUAAGUGACGGUACUGCAGAAAAAAGCGCCGGCUAACUACGUGCCAGCAGCCGCGGUAAUACGUAUUGGGUUCAGAGUUUUUUCGCGAUAUCAGCCUAUAGAGUUCGUAGGCGGUUGUUGCGUCUGCUGUGAAAUCGCGAGGCUCAACUUCGGGCUUGCAGUGGGUACGGGCAGACUAGAGUGCGGUAGGGGAGAUUGGAAUUCAUGGUGUAGCGGUGGAAUGCGCAGAUAUCAGGAGGAACACCGAUGGGGAAGGCAGAUCUACUGGCAGUUACUGAUGCCGAGGAGCGAAAGGGUGGAGAGCAAACAGCAUUAGAUACCCUGGUAGUCCACCCCGUAAACUCAUGGAAAUAGUGGUGGGGUCCAUUCCACGGUCUCCGCGACGCAGCUAACGCAUUAAGUUCCCCGCCUGGGGAGUACGGCCGCAAGGCUAAAACUCAAAGGAAUUGACGGGGACCCGCACAAGCGGCGGAGCAUGCGGAUUAAUUCGAUGCAACGCGAAGAACCUUACCAAGGCUUGACAUACACCAGAACGGGCCAGAAAUGGUCAACUCUUUGGACCAUGGUGAACAGGUGGUGCAUGGUUGUCGUCAGCUCGUGUCGUGAGACGUUGGGUUAAGUCCCGCAACGAGCGCAACCCUCGUUCUAUGUUGCCAGCACGUUAUGGUGGGAACUCAUGGGAUACUGCCGGGGUCAACUCGGAGGAAGGUGGGGAUGACGUCAAAUCAUCAUGCCCCUUAUGUCAGCACAUUCACGCAUUCACAAUGGCCGGUACAAAGGGCUGCAAUACCGUGAGGUGGAGCGAAUCCCAAAAAGCCGGUCCCAGUUCGGAUUGAGGUCUGCAACUUCACCUCAAGAAGUCGGAGUCGCUAGUAAUCGCAGAUCAGCAACGCUGCGGUGAAUACAUUCCCGGGUCUUGUACACACCGCCCGUCAAGUCAUGAAAGUCGGUAACACCUGA
rnacentral:rRNA from 1 species